UGCCGCGUGGAGGAAGACGGCCGUGGUUGUAACUCCUUUUUAGUAGAAGAAGUACUGACGGUAUCUGAGGAAUAAGCAUCGGCUAACUCCGUGC
rnacentral:rRNA from 1 species